UUGAGCCGUGUGCCGGGAAAGCUGGCACGCACGGUUCUGAGGGGGCCGGAGCGCAGCAAUGCGCUCCGGCUACCCGAC
rfam:Frankia sp. ETN1h contig_79, whole genome shotgun sequence.